rnacentral:sRNA from 1 species
UGUUUGUUUCAUUGCUAGACAGUGAGGGGCGGGUGGCGCGAGGUUUUGACCGGGCUUUCCUGUUUACAUGACCUUCCCACUUUUUCCCGCUGGCUUUUCCUUAUUCGAUCCCUAAAGAAAGGAAGCUUGCGGGCAAUCUCUCAGGCACCAAGUACCCUGCGUUCAUGUUGCACGAGUACAUUACAUACAAAGCUGUGCCGAUGGGGAGGUAUACGGAUCUGCUCCGGGAGACAAGACUUGCAUAUCGCAGAUAAGGGGGUAAUUAGAGAUGCGGAAGGGGAUGCGGGUGCGGGUUGCGAGUGCGAGGAAAUAAUUAUACGAAGGGGGAUGGCGUGAUACACAUACAGAUCCUCCAUGGUUCCCACAGAUGCACGUAAGUAUGAAGUAACUUCGAGUCUAUAUAUACACGGUACAAGCACGGCAUACUCCUUCCUUCGCAGUAUGUAUAGAGUAGAACUAGCGGGAGAAGGAUCUAAAUUUACAUGACAGCAGAAAUGACGAAGUUAUUCUGCGGUUUUGACAGUGUUCUUUCGAGCAACUAUGGGUAUGUUCACCACACAUCCCCAGAGCCAGCCCAA